rnacentral:rRNA from 1 species
AGAGUUUGAUCCUGGCUCAGGAUGAACGCUAGCGGCAGGCCUAACACAUGCAAGUCGAGGGGCAGCACGGUGUAGCAAUACACUGGUGGCGACCGGCGCACGGGUGCGUAACGCGUAUGCAACCUACCCAUAACAGGGGGAUAACACUGAGAAAUUGGUACUAAUACCCCAUAACAUCAGGACCGGCAUCGGUUCUGGUUGAAAACUCCGGUGGUUAUGGAUGGGCAUGCGUUGUAUUAGCUGGUUGGUGAGGUAACGGCUCACCAAGGCAACGAUACAUAGGGGGACUGAGAGGUUAACCCCCCACAUUGGUACUGAGACACGGACCAAACUCCUACGGGAGGCAGCAGUGAGGAAUAUUGGUCAAUGGACGCAAGUCUGAACCAGCCAUGCCGCGUGCAGGAAGACGGCUCUAUGAGUUGUAAACUGCUUUUGUACGAGAGUAAACGCUCUUACGUGUAAGAGCCUGAAAGUAUCGUACGAAUAAGGAUCGGCUAACUCCGUGCCAGCAGCCGCGGUAAUACGGAGGAUCCAAGCGUUAUCCGGAUUUAUUGGGUUUAAAGGGUGCGUAGGCGGUUUGAUAAGUUAGAGGUGAAAUACCGGUGCUUAACACCGGAACUGCCUCUAAUACUGUUGAACUAGAGAGUAGUUGCGGUAGGCGGAAUGUAUGGUGUAGCGGUGAAAUGCUUAGAGAUCAUACAGAACACCGAUUGCGAAGGCAGCUUACCAAACUAUAUCUGACGUUGAGGCACGAAAGCGUGGGGAGCAAACAGGAUUAGAUACCCUGGUAGUCCACGCAGUAAACGAUGAUAACUCGUUGUCGGCGAUACACAGUCGGUGACUAAGCGAAAGCGAUAAGUUAUCCACCUGGGGAGUACGUUCGCAAGAAUGAAACUCAAAGGAAUUGACGGGGGCCCGCACAAGCGGAGGAACAUGUGGUUUAAUUCGAUGAUACGCGAGGA